GUGGCGGACGGGUGAGUAACACGUGGGUAACCUGCCCUUAAGUGGGGGAUAACAUUUGGAAACAGAUGCUAAUACCGCAUAGAUCCAAGAACCGCAUGGUUCUUGGCUGAAAGAUGGCGUAAGCUAUCGCUUUUGGAUGGACCCGCGGCGUAUUAGCUAGUUGGUGAGGUAAUGGCUCACCAAGGCGAUGAUACGUAGCCGAACUGAGAGGUUGAUCGGCCACAUUGGGACUGAGACACGGCCCAAACUCCUACGGGAGGCAGCAGUAGGGAAUCUUCCACAAUGGACGCAAGUCUGAUGGAGCAACGCCGCGUGAGUGAAGAAGGCUUUCGGGUCGUAAAACUCUGUUGUUGGAGAAGAAUGGUCGGCAGAGUAACUGUUGUCGGCGUGACGGUAUCCAACCAGAAAGCCACGGCUAACUACGUGCCAGCAGCCGCGGUAAUACGUAGGUGGCAAGCGUUAUCCGGAUUUAUUGGGCGUAAAGCGAGCGCAGGCGGUUUUUUAAGUCUGAUGUGAAAGCCCUCGGCUUAACCGAGGAAGCGCAUCGGGAAACUGGGAAACUUGAAGUGCAGAAGGAGGACAGUGGAACUCCAUGUGGUAAGCGGUGAAAUGCGGUAGAUUAUAUUGGGAAGAACACCAAGUGGCGAAGG
rnacentral:rRNA from 2 species